rnacentral:lncRNA from 1 species
CCUUAUCUACUCUAUUACUGCCACUUCGUUCCCAAGGUUCGGGUCUAUGAAGCGGACCUCCUGGACCCGAAAACCAAAGCCAACAUUAACCAUGGUGUUGCCAUCUGUCACUUGGACACCUCCGAUUGGAGCGCAGGUCAUGGUGCAUUCGUAGCAUUGGGUUCGGGCCCUGGCCGGAUUGAAGUUUGUCACUGGAUCUUCGAGAAUGAUAUGACCUGGACCAUUGUAGACUGAUUCAUGACCCACCUUGUCAGCUCAGUUCGAACCACUUGGUCAACCAAGCUGGCGCGACCCCGACAUCUGCUUGUUCGUUUCCUUCAUAACGAGUCAUGGUGAAAUAUUUCAAGGCAUUUGCUUCAUCUAUGUAAGGAUGGUAAUUUAUCUCAGUUGUGCGAGAGCUAAGGAAGGAUUAAAAUGUUGAAAAUUAUAAAAAUAUGGGUAGUUAAAAUUUAGAUAAAUAUAGAAAAAUGUUGGACAGAAAAUUGGUUAAAAAAUACCAGUUUAAAAGAAAUUGAUGGUAAAAUAAGUAAUAAUUUAUGAAAACUCAAAAAAAUAAAAAAUAAAUAAUAAUAUAUAUUUUAAAAUUGUUUUAUUAGAGAAAAUUAUAUAUAUAUGGAUAAAAUUUAUAAUAUUAAUUUGUAAAAGUUGAAAAUAUAUUUAUUAAACACAUUUAAUAUUAAAAUUAUUAUCUAAUUAGUAUAGAUGUAUUUAAGUCUAUAAAAGAAUGAUAAGUGUGCAUAUAUAAUAUUUAAUUAUUAUUUAAAAAUAUAUAAAAAAAAUAAAUUAAGAAGAUUAUUAUGAUGAUUUUCAGAUCCGUUGAAUGAAAUUUUAAAGUACCAUAGUUAAAAGUAAUUCAUUUAAUUUUUUUUUUAAUUUAAUAUUAAUUUCAUGUCUUGGGUUCAGAUGAUGAAGAUUUUAUUAAUAUGAUACUUCAUUCGUACGUGAAAGCAAGAGAAAAGUGACAAAAUCAGGAUAAAAUCCUAAAAUAUUAAAGAAAUAUCAUGAAAUCGAGGAGAAAUAUCAAGAGACUUUAGAGAAAUACUAGGAAUUUUCAUAGAAAUAUCAAAAAAUGUAGGAAAAAAAUAGAGAAAUACUAGUAAAUAACGACAAUAUUGGUUGAUUUUUGGCAAGCCAAGAUUUCCAUCCCUUUUUGGUAUCACGACCGGUCGAUGCACUGAAAUUUGAAGAUAUUUCAUUGAAAUAAUGUUGAUAUUUUCACCCAAAUUUCGCAACGUUUUAAUCUUUGAACCUAACAAAUGCUUUGAUGGCUUCCGAAAGGUGGAAGGUAAUGAAUGAAUGGCUUUCAGUAAUCAGUAUUAGAACAAUGGUGCUUCGCUGGGGCUUCAUUUCCUAAUAAUGGCCUAGAAAUCUAUGAAAGAUGCAAAAUUGAUGUGAGGUCCACGUGAUGUACAUGGACAAAAUUGCUCUUUUAUUAUUUAAGCAUGUGAUAGUUGUGGAAAUGGGCCAAAGAAUUCUCUCAUUACAUGGAUGCAUAUGUGAUGGAUAACAUGACAAAUGCAAUAUUGCAUAAAACAAACAGGGUCAAGCCCUAGUUUUAGAAAUGAAGCUCUUGUACUCAAAACUAGGAGAAUAACGAAGACCUCUCUAACUAAGGUUAUGGCAAAGACCUCCACGAUCAGGGCAAUGGCAAAUACAUAGAUAGAAGGGAGGUUGCACAAUUGCAAAACCUUGGUGAAGGGAGGGAAAUGAGGGUGAAGUCAUGAUGGUGAAAUGACCACAAUCCAAGCCUUGGUAAGUUAUAUAUUAAUGUCCCUCCCAAUCUUAAAGUCUUGAAAUUGAUUUGAUAGGUUCUAUCAUCAGUUUGGCUUGGAAACAAACCAAGAAUCUAAAGCCUAUGAAGUAAAAGAAAAUGAGUGAUGUUAGAGAAAAUGUUAUAAAUUGAAUAGAUUUAUGUUAUUGAAAUUUCUAGAGAGUAGAUAAUUAUACAACUAUUUUGAUAAGCCGAAUACAAUAUUAAGCAAUGGAAUGAAAAUAUUAGUUUGAAAUCUUCAAAUUGAUAACAAAUGUGACAGUGGGAAUCAAGCAAGGAAAAAAAAUAUUGGGAUAUAUUAGCGAUAUAUCGGUGAUAUAUCGUGUAUCAGAGAAGACAAAUAUGAUAUAUAGAUAAGAUAUAUCGUCUGACGAAAAUAUUGGUAAAUAUCGGUGAUACAAGUAAAAUAUCGACCAUAAAUAAGAAAAAAUCGUUGAAAUUUUGGAGAUAUAUUGGAUAUAUCGAAGAUAUAUCGGUGAAAAAUCGAUAAAAAAUUAAAUUAUUAUAAAUAAGUUAAUUUUAAUUAUGCUUUAAUUUAUUUUGUAUGCUAAUUAAAUAUAAAAUCAUAAAUAAAAUUAUCAAUAUUUUUAAAUAAAAAUAUUUUGUAUCAAAAUGUACCAAUAUUUUAAAAUAAAAAUCAUAAAUAUAUUUAAAUAGCAUAAUUAGUAAAUUUGCAAUAAUUUAGUUUUAAAUUAAUUAUUUUAUUUUAUUUUGAUAUUCAAGUGUAAUAAUAGUAUAUUGAGAAUAAAUUAACUUAAUACAUUUUUAAAUUAGUAUAACAUUGAAUUUAAAUUAGUACAUUUUUAUAAUUAAUUAAUGUAUUUUUUAUAGAGGUAAGUAAAUUAACUUAAUAUAGUAAUAUAUUUAAAUCAUAUAAUUAGUAUAUUUAUAAUAAUUUAAUUUCAUAAUGAGUUUACACUUACAAAAUUCACAUUUCUUAUCAGUCGAUACUAUAUAAUUAAAUUUAAUAUUGCAAAUCAUAUCAUACAUAUAUUAAUUUUUUCAACAAAACAAUUUUAAAAUGUCUAUUAUACUUCUAAUUUCAUUUUUAAGAGUUCUUUACUUACAUUUUCAUAAGUUUUGAUGAAUUUUUUGUGUAUCGAUAUUUUGUGUCAAAAUAUCUACCGAUAUAUCUCUGAUAUAUCCGAUAUAUUUGUAAAAUCUAAGUAUCGAUAUAUCCAUGAUUACCGAUAUUUUCAUUCUUGAAAACAAGCUCAUGCAAAAUUUUGAUAUAGCUCUAGUGUUUUGCAUAAUAACCUUUUGAGGUUCAACACUCGAUGUGAGAAUAAACCAAUAUCAAAGUACCUUAUUGAUUUGUAGCCUUAUUCUAACCUAGUUGUAAAAUCUAAUAGGCUUAAUUCUUCUUAACUUUGAUAUAGUUCCCCAUAUAUGCCCCCAUUUUUAUUAAAGCUUUAGCAACUCCCAAGCCAUAAGGCUUUAGGGCACUAGGAUUAAUUAGUGAUUUUCUUCGGAUUCAUACCCUAGUUUCUGGUCAAUUAUAGGUUUUUCCACAUAUGCUUCAAUCUCAAGACACCUACAUUUUGAUGUGAACCUCAACUCUUACCUAGGAGUAAAGGGUACUAAAUUACUCAAUAGGGACUCUUGCCAAAGGCAAACCCAACAACAACUUAAGGAUAAUAAACCCAAAAUUUAUCAUACAAGAACUUAGACCCUUGAUGCCUUCAACCUACCUCACUCGUCUAUGUGCACCAUGUGUUAUAAAGGGUGAACAAGAAAUAUCCACUUGGAUUAUUAAUGGUUUAGGUUUUAAGUUGAACCAUGUUUGUUACUAGGCUACUGCCUAAUCAAGUAAUUUGACCCUUUGUAUUGAUGUAACCUAGUUUCAACUUACUCAGCCUCCAAAAUUUUGAUAAGAAAGACUCUCAAAAUUGAAUUUAGGGUAAGUGCAAGUAUGAGGUACAAGUAUGCACAAGGGUUCCUGUUUUUUUUUUUUUUGGUAAAUUUUUCAUUCUAACCCAUCCUUUACCACCCAUAUAUCAUCACAUCCUAUUCAUAUAAUAUUCAAUAACUACUCACCCCCUGACCUAACCUAAACAUUGUCCUUAAUGUUUUCAAGUAAUAGAGAAUAAAGGUAUGAAACAAUUCAACAAUGAGGAAAAAGAAGGGGGAGAUGGAAGGAUAUCCUCCCAUAGCACUGGUGAAAGUAGAAGGAUGACUUAGAGAAUUAUUUAAAAGCUAUAAAGCGAAAUAAAUAUAAAAUAAGACAAAUAAAAUAAAGAUAGGUAGGCAUUAUUUUAUUUUAUUUUAUUGUUUAAAAAUGGAUCCAAAAUAGGUGCGAAAGGUUAACUUGUUUCUUGUUAAAUAUGAGUUUGAUGGUCCCAUAACUCCAUAACAUCAAUGGGUUGUUUAAUUUUUGCACUGAAAUUAAGAGAAUAAACACGUUGAGAAUAUUCCCCUUUCAUUUAUUUUUCAGGAACUUCUUUUUUGGAACCAUGAAGAUGAUCAUAUGUAAACAGUAUUAUAUGUUAUGGAAAAAAGGAAAAAGUCGAAGUGAUAUGCUAAUUCUGAUGGUGGUGGAGGUGGUGAGAACUGAGAAGAUGGCUGUGAAGGUGGUAGUGGUGGUGGUGAAAGUCCAAGCCUCCGCCAUUUUCCAAAGGGUAAGCCAUCUGAUCAGACCAUUUUUCAGAUGGGCUUUUUGUCAACUCGAGCAAGGAGUCCCUGACAUGGUCAGCUUGAACCAUCUCACUGUCCCUCUUCUGCUACCAAGAUGAGAAAAUCAACAGAUACACAUGAAAAUAAUUUAUCAAACAGUUGAUGAGAAGUGUUCAAGGGUGGCCUUACCUCUACUUUGAACACAUUAGAAACCAGGCCUUUGCAGCUUGUUACAUUUGCAUUUGUCACUUCCAAGCCUAGAGAGCUCAGAGCCUCCAUCAGCCUCGCAAACCCGCCAGCCUUGUGCUCACAAAACACCUUAACGAAGAACUCAUUGCCUUCUAUCUGAGCCACUUCCACUUGGGGCUGCAGCAUAGUUUCAACUUUCACUUCCAAUUGAACACACAGAAAAGAGAAUCACAGAAUGGAAACAAUAAAUAUCAUCAAGUACCUCCAUCUGCUGUGCUUUGUCAUUGUUGAUUUGAUCAGUUUCAUGGUUUUGCUUAGGGAGCCUGCAGGCACUGCCAUUGCCUGCUUCUCCCAUAUGAAUCCCGUUUUGAGCUUCUUCAUUUUCAGUUUUAGACCCAAUGUUAACUCCUGAUCCAUCAUUGUUCAGAAUUUCAGAUUGGACAUUGUUAUGGUUGCUGUUGAUGCCUGCAUUAAUCUUCCCCCCUUCAUCGUCUGAAUGCUCUUCCAGCUCAUCUUGAAGAUCCUUUGCUUGUUUCUGCAACUCCUUCACAAAUUCUAUUGCAUCACCCAGAAUUGAAGCUCUAUCCAACUAGGAAUCAAAAAUACAUCAGAUAUCAGUAAAAAGUACUAAUCAUAGUGUGAAUUAAUCUUGAAGAAUCUUGACCAGGCCAAAGAAGAAUGACAGCCACCUUAGAUAUUUUGGGAACCAAAGCACGAAGCGCAUAGAGUCUAUCAUUAAGCUUCUUCCUUCGCCUCCUCUCAGCGACCAAGUUUUUUGAUUGAGUCCCUUUUCCAGUCCUCCUUCGGUACUUCAAAUCAUCAUCAUCAUCAAUCUGAUCACUGCAGUCUGAUACUGAAUCAGCUUGGUUUGCCAUUUGUUUAGUACUCGAAUCCUUAUCAUCACCCAGCUGCUCCUUGUUUGCUAGAGGCUCCAUCAUUUCUCUAUGCAUGUUUUUGGAAUUGUUAGUACACACCAUCAUGGAUUUCUGCAUUGCCUCCAUCUCCUGAAAUCCACAAUCUGAGGACAUAAAGGGGUUAAUCACCUUCUCUGAAAGAAAUGAGCCAUCGGAUCCUUCAAAGAAGAUAUCAUUCUUGACGCUACUCUCAGAGGUGUAACUGAAUUGCUGCAAGAAGUUCAUGGGAGAGCUGCAUAGGCGGAUUCGUUCAACUGAGAUGUCAAAUGGCAGAUCAUUCAAGUUCUCCAAUGCUGUUACUGGGGAAAUUGUUGCCUGGAAAUGAUUGUUGGGAUCCUUUUCCUCAUCUGCAUUGCCUGCAUUGGCAUUAACUGAGAAGAUUGUAUCAAUAUUGCUUGAAUUCAUCAUGGCUUCCUGCUCCAUCAAGAUUAUGUUGCACUGUGUUGUGACGAAGUUUACUACGUGUUGAUCCUCAGCUACCUAUUUCAAUAAAUAAAUGAAGUUACCAAUUUCAUUUUCAUCAUGAAAAGAUCAUUUUUCUUCAAAUCAACCUGAAAAUACUAUGUUAAGAACUGAUCAGGCACAAUUUGAUGCAGCUAAUUAAUAUUUUCAACAUUAUACGAAACAUUAAUAGUACUUGAUUAGCAACAAACAGUUCAAUUAGUCCUCCCAGCACUGGAAUCAAGAGCCUGGUCCCAACUGUUUCCUGCAAAAACCCAAGUGGAAAAUCAUUAUCUCGAUUGGGGAUAUGGCCUAGUUUAAAUAGGAAUUUGGAAUACUACUCACUUCGAGAACGCUUGAAUCUGAACUAUUACAGAAGUUGAGCCAUCUGGGUUGGUUUGAAAUCAAGGUCUGUCCAUGAAUGCUGCUUAUAAGCAUCUAUGUCAGGUGAAGUUUUAACUGUAUGUCAUUUAAGGCGAAAAGGCUGAAAAAAAGGGAGAUACCCAGAAUCUAGGGAAAUAGAAGAAGGCAAUUGGGCAAGAAGAUCACAAGAUUUGGUUCUUGGAUGCUGCAACAUGGCAUCCCUGCAAGGAAGUACACUGGAAACAGGAAAAAGAAUCUCCUCUUCACCAUUUUGAGUACUGUUUUCGCUUCCAGCACAGCAACAAUCCAUCCAGUCCAGAAACCUAAAACAAAACCGAAUUAUGAAUCAUGAGCUGAUCACAAAUAGCACAAGACAUAGAUUGAAGCUUUUCACUCAACCUUUGAUCUUCACUUAGUUUCCAAAGAACACAGUAGUCCCAGCUUUUCAAUCCCACAAGAGGCCUCAGCCUCUCCUUGAGGCUCUGCACCAUGUUGACCAUUUCUCCUGUAAUUAACAUCAUGCCCACUUCAAAAAACCUGCAUUAAACACAAUUCCAUGACAAACUAUCCAUUGCCAAAAAGUUUAAGCUACCAGAUAACUAGACAAAAAUGAAUAUUAAGCUUGAAUAAUCCUUGGGACUAAGAAAAAACAAAAGAAGAAAGCAAUGAAAAGGAGAAGAAACAAAAGCGAAUAUCCAUACAAACUUGGAUUACUUGAUAGCAAUAGGUAACUGCAACAUCAUCCAAGAGACAGCACCCACUUCAUCCAAGAAAACCCCAUCUCAGCAAAUGGGCUGAGAGAGGUAAAAGCAAAAGCUCAAAUUCUUCGUUAGUCUAAAAUCUUUGGUUUUAUAUUUGGGGUUUUGGCUUUUACUUUGGUAGGUGAAGUGUAGUGCAUGCAUGAGAGAGAGGGUGAGAGUUUUGUAAAGAAGAUAAGAAAAAACGGAAUAUAAAAAGGAUAUAUGAGAAGUAAUGAUGGAAGGGCGUAUCGUGUGAGCUAAGAAGGCGUACAAAAGCCUAACUAAUUCGGUUAUAUAUUCUUUCGUCUCUCAACUACUCUCCUACUUUGAAUCAUAUUGAAAACUACUCUAAAAGAAUCUUCUUCAAUUGGAUAUGUCUUCCAAUGUAAAUAAGCAAAAUAUUCUAAAUUAUCAAAGUUCUAAGAUAAUUGUAGUAUCACGUAUUUAUAUUUUGGAAAAAAAAAAAAACGAAGUUACCAAAGAGGUACUUAUUCAAUUCCUCGUAUUCAUAAUUGAAAAUGCACAAAAAGAAAAAAAAUCUAACUCGUUUGGAUGAAGCUAUAAAUAAUAUGAUUAAAGUAUAAAAAAUAAGACUAAAACAUAAAUGAAAUGAAAUCAAGUUACAAAGCAGUUAGUAUAAAGUAAUUAGGCCUAAAUGCAUACGUAAUAUAACUUAAUUAGUCACACUUUUCUGAAGGUACCUCUCAAGCAAUCUAAUCAAAUCUUUAUAUCUUUAGUACCUUGAUUGUGUUAUCAUAUUUUCACUUACACUAGAGGUGUAAUUUGAUUGAAUUAACCUAACUCAACAUGAAGUUUGGAUGAAUUUGAGCAAUCAUCUUUUAAUACUCGAGUUGAGUUUGGGUUAAGUUUUUUUAACCCGAACUGAAGUUGGAUUUGGAUCAAAAUUUAAACAACCUAAGCCUAACCUGAAUUUGAUUUAAUAUUUUUAUAAUAUUACAAAAAGCUUUUUCACUAGUAGCCAUAUUCAAAUCCAUCAAAGCGUUCCUAUCUAUUGUGGUGCAUCUCAUUUAUGAGAUACAACAAUUAGAUAUCGAGAUAACAUUCUUGAAAGGUCAUCUUAAUGUUAGUAUCUAUAUGAUGCAACCAGAUAUUUUCAUAAUAAAGGGUUUUGUUUGUACAAGAAGACAUAGUGAAAGCAUAGUGGUGCUUUAAGAUCUUGUAGGUAGAUGACAAUCUACUCAUUGGGAAUAAUAUAGAGACAUUGUCACUAGUCAAAAUUUGUUGUCUACUUAGUUCUAUAUGAAAAUCUAGUAGGCACAAUAAAUUCUUGGGAUUAAGGUCCUUAUAGAUGCAAGAUUAUGAAAAUUUUGUUAUGCUAUAUCAUCUACAUUAACAAGCAUUUGUUCAAGUGCAUGAUGCAAGAUAAAAAGGGUUGCUCCAUUUUGGUUUAGAGUUAUCUUUCUCAGAUUAAUUAGUAUCAUUGGACAUUUAAGGAGAUAAUACCUUAUUGGCACAAUUUAUGAGAGUUGAAUUAACUCUUAGUUCAUUUAUAUGCAUAUAAGGAUGUUUUGAUAAUUACAAAAGAUUGUAUAGGGAUUAGUAAACAAUAUUUUUGAAUUGAGCUAAUUAAUUAAUUAGAAGAUCAUGUAGAGUUAAUUAAUCAAUUAAAAUCUUAUUUGGGCUAGAUUAAGUGAUCUAAGCCUAUGAUGGACUCAAGUCACUUAAACCCAGUUAGGAACCCUAUAAAAUACCCCCUUAAGGCUAAUGGUUUCUAUACUUUAGUCUUCCAUCAUCUAAUGAGAGAAAAUCCUAGCCUCCACCCUCCCAAACCUCUCAUCGUUUGUGUGCUAAAGAAAAAAGGAGAGCCAUCGGGUAGGAGAUCUUAGGUUCACAAAACUUCCAAUGGCUAUAAGAUUGAUCUUCAUCGAAAGGAAUUGAUUUGGGAAUAUCCAAAUUAGAGGUAUUGUUUUCUAAAGCACUAUUAUAUAUCUUUUUAAUGUUAAAAAUGGUCUUUAAUUUUUGCUUUUGUUGCAUAAUAUCUAAAUGCCUCAGGUAGUUUUUAUGCGCCUAACUUGAUCAUAGGAUAAAAAAUAGAGUGAUUCGGGAUUCCUUUCAAUCUUAAAGACACGUGAUCAGGAAAUUUAUGAUCGUUAUAAUUCCUUAACUGGAAUUUGACAUAUGCUCUUAGAGAGUUAAAGUAUGUCAAGUGAUUAUAUUAUAGAAGGAUUUGAGACUCAAAGAUUUGAGAGGUUGAUAGCAUCUACCUCAUUAGAUUACAAACACCAAUUCAUAGGAACUCUGCAUGCAAUGAAUAGUAGGUCAUAAACACAAGUUUACAUCUCAUUUUAAUAUCAUAAGAUAUUGGAGUACAAUUGGCUCUCUAUAAUAGGAUGUUGAUUCAACUUCAGAAUUAGAUUUUGAGUUAGUAUUUUCUUAUAGGUCUCAAUAGUACUUCAUGCUCAUAUUCCUUGGUGGUACAUUUAUCGAGGGAUAUUUAGGUUCCUUAUUCAUAUAUAUAUAUAUAUAUAUAUAUAUGCAUAAAGAUGUUUUCGUAAAAACACAAGGUUGCUUUAGAGUCUAUGAAUGGUCUUUUUUUUAUUAUGCUAAUUAAUUAAUUAAGACCAAAUGGGAUAGAUUAAGUGACCUAAACCAUAGAUGAGUGUGGACCCGUAUUUUUCAUCUGUGUUCCUAGUUAAUGGUGAGACUUGCUUUUUAUUAGUGAAAAUUUGAUUUUUGAAAAAGUUAGUCUCCACUUAUUUUAGUUUAUUUUUAAAAAGAAAAUAAAGUAAGAAAGAAAACUUUGUGUAAUUCCUUAUUUGAAAAAAUGACAAGUUUGUAAACCAAAAAUGGAUUUAGGAAUUAAGUUGCCUAUUGGGAAAGUAUGGUAAUAAGUUAUAGCAGCCCUUUAACCUUGUAUAUCUAUGGUCUCUACUAGACAAAUGAAGAAAAUUAUGACAAUUGAUUAAUUAAACAUGAAUAUUGAAAAAAAAAACACAAUACAAGCAAACAUACAACAUGACAUUAGCUAAAAAAUAAAUUACAAGAAUAUAAAAAACUGAUAUAAGCUAAAAGCACAAAAUGAUUUAUUAGAAAAUAUGUUUAUUAUUCCAAAUGUCAUAACACAAUUUUAAAGAAAAUUCAAUUGUUUAUUUACAAAUAAAGUUCAGUUUAUUAACAAAUGAUUUGAUUUAUUUAUUCAAAUUGAAAGAGGUGUUUUUUUAUUUAUUUAUUUAUUUAUUUAUUAGAAGAGUUUAUUGAAUAAAAUUUCAUUUAAAGAGAAAAGUUUGAAUUUGAUUUUAUUUAUAAAAAAAAUGAUUUUUAUUUAUUUUUACUAGAAAAAGAAUGAAUUUUUAUGAUUCUAUUUUCAAGGAAUUCAAUUCAAUUUUUGUUUAAAGACUUUUUUUUUUUACAAAUAAUUAAAAGAAAGUGAUUUUUACAAAAUCAUUUAUAGAAAGAAAAUUCUAAUUUGAUUUUAUUUACAAAGAAAUUGAUUUUUAUUAGUGAUUUUAAAAAGCAUCAAUUUGAUUCUUAUUUUGGGAAAAAAAUUAUGAGGAAAAAGGUUUUAACCAAUUUAUUAAAAAAGAGAAAUUUCAAUUCAAAUUUUAUUUAAGAACAAGUGGCUUUCCUACAAAGUAUUAAAAAAAACUUAACAAAUUUAUUAAAAAGUAAUCUUUUUCUAAAUUUAUUUAGAAAAAGAAUUUCACAAAUUUAUUUAUUUUUCUUUAUUUACAACAAGAGAUUCCAUUAAGAAAUAUUUUUUCUUUUUACAAAUCCUAUUUACAAAAAUGAUUUCACAAUCCAAUUUUUAUUAAAGAUUUUUUUAAAUACAACUUUCAUUUCCAAUCCAAUUUUUGUUUCAGAAAAGAUUUUAUUUCAACUUUUAUUUUCAAUCAAAUUUUUAUUUUAAUAUUUUUUUACCAAUUUACUCAAAAAGGAAUUUUACAAAUUUAUUUCAAGUCCAAUUUUAUUAAGAAAGAAAUUUUGAAUUUUAUCUAUAAAAAAAUUGUUUACCAAUUUAAUAAAAAAUGUAUUUCAAUUUAAUUUUUAUUCAAAAUGUUUUUACAAAUUUUAUUUCUGAAAUUAUUUACAACUCAAAUUUUUUAUUUAAAAAGAGAUUUUUAUUUGAAAAGAAAGAUCUUGACAUUUUUACAAUUUUAUUGAAAGAAACUUUGUAGUUUUUUGUUUUUUAAAGCAUUUCUAGUUUCUAUUUGGAAAAUGAUUUUACAAAUUUAUUUUCAUAAAGUGAUUUUAUAGUUUUUAUUUGGAAAAAGUGAUUUUACAAAUCUUAUUUGAAGAAGUGACUUUGCAAUUUUAUACAAAAACUAUAAGAAUUUUGUAGAAAAGUCACUUAAUUAAAAAGAAAAAGAUUUGAAGUCUUUUUUUACUUUAAAAAAAAUUAGAUUUAUAAAUUUGAUAUUUGAAAAUACAAUGGAAUGAAAUGGAAAGAAACUUCACAAUAAACAUAUGGGAGAAUAUGAAUAAAUUAGAUAAAAUAAUAAAAAGACUAAAGAUAAACAUCAAAACUAAAAUAUAACAAACAUAUAUAUGAGAAAAAAAAAAGUACUUAAAAAAAAUAUACUGUAAACAAAUAUUCCUAAAGAUAAAUAAAAAGAAAUAAAUAAACAAGUAAGGGAAUAUACCCAAUAUUAUGCAGUGAAAGAACAAUAAAACAAAAAAAAAAUAGAGAGUAGUACUCUCCAAGCCAUCCCCAUUGCUUAAACCCUUAGGGUUCUUCACUUCAUAUAACCUCCCAUGGGAAAAUCCAACCCUCCAUGUGUUUAGCAUUCAGGCUUAGCCAAAGAAAUCUAAGAAAUAGGCUCAUGCAUAGAAAAUAAGAAUAGCAUAAAUAAAUAAAUAAGUCUGACACUAAUAACAAACUAUCAUCAAAUUAGUUCAAUAAAUUUCAUCAAUAAAAAUAGGUUCAAAUGAAUAAAUGAAACUUAAUGAAAAUAUCCAACAUACCAUAGUCCCAAAUCCAAAAUUCCAAUUAAUAACCAAUACAACGUAUCUACAAUCCUAAGUUCAAUAUUCAUAAAUAAUGCACUAUGAAGAUCAAGAAAUAAUAAUAAAUAAAAUAAAUAAAAAUAAGGAAAUGAGGACUUAUCUUGAAACCCAAAUAAAGAAAAAAUGGUGGUAGUGGACUUGAAAAGGGUGGUGUCAUGUGAUGAUAGUCAUGGAAGCAUGUGGUGUGGUUAACGGAUAAGAGAAUGAGAAACAAAGAAAACAGGUGUAGAAGAAAUAGGAAAUGAAAGAGAGAAAGAUAGAGAAACAGAGAAAAAAAAAAGAUGAGAAGGGAAGAGAAGUGUCAUCGAUCAAAGAGGCUCGUCGGUGGUGAUUAGUAGCCGAGAUAGUCACUGGUAGGAAGGCACAGUGAAGGUAGGGUGGUGAAGAAUGGUAGCAAUACAAAAUGGGAAAGAAAAGAAAUAAGAGAGAGAAAGAGAAUACAUAGUGAAAUGAGAAAGAGUGAGAUGAGAUGAAAAAGAGGACUGUUGGUCAACAUCGUAGAACUGCUAGUGAUGCUACCAACAUCAAAGUAGUGGCUGGCCAUGGAGGUGGUGGUGGGUGUGGAGAAAGAAAAAGGAAAAGAAAUGAAAGAAGAGAAAGGAAAAGGAAAAAGGAGGAGAAAUCCCAAUGGGAGUAGGCAACUGAAGAUGGAAAGAAUGUGUGGUCUUUAGGGUUUUAGAUGAAUGAAUGGUGUAAAUGAAGGGGAAAAUGAAUGAUCAAGAUGGGUUCUUCUAAAAUGGGUAUAAAAUUUGGUAGUCUACAAUGGACUCAAGUCACUUAAACCCACAAGGAAACCUAUAUAAACCUCUUUUAAGGUUUUAAGGCUUGAGACACUCUUGACAUUCAGUUUUUCAAAGAGGAACCCUAGUCUCCACCCCUUCAAAAGGGGAUUCCACCUUCUUACAUGUUAAGAUUCAGGAAAAAAAUAUUAUUGAGUUGAAAGCUUAUUGGCUUUUUACACCCGUUACACUUCUUUGUAGAUUGGAAACAAUUUAGGAACAUUCAUAUCAUAAUUAUUGCAUCUAAACUCCAAAACUAAAGUUUUUAAUAUUAACGUUUACCACUCUAUAUUGAUUUGGCUCAAGGUAUAUAUAACAAUGAUAAAACCUUACAUAAAUAGAAUUUAAGAAUCACUAGGAAUCCAUGAUAUCAAAGAAUAGACAAUUGUAUCAUCCUCCAAGCUAAAAUUAGAGGGCAUUUACUUUUCAUACCAAUUCCUUAGCCCCUACUUUAUUUCAUUAUUGAGUUUAACUAUUCCCAUUAAAUCCUACUUUAGCUUUUCAUAUUUCAUAUCCCAAGAAAGCCUUUUAACCUCUCAUAGGUGUGUUGUCACCUACACAAUCCAUUAAAGAAAGAUAAAGAGUUAUUCUUGAAAAUUAAAGAAUUCAAAAGCAAUAUAUUGAUUGAUAAUAAUUGAGAAAGAAAUACCAAGCAAGAUCCUUUUCUAUCUUAUUCUUUAAAAAAAAAAAAAAAAACUCUAAACUCUUCAAAAAAAAAAAAACUAAAAAUUUGAGUUUUUAUAGUUUGGGUAAGAACCUUACAUGUGGCAUGUUCCUAUUGGUCACUUAUUUUCCAAAAAGUGCUUAAAAAUAACUAAAAACUAAUAAAAAUCUAACUUUAGAAUGUCUGGGCCCCAUUUUGGAUUGGAGAAGUGUCAAAAUGUUUCAUAUUGAGAAUUCACAAGUAAUGUGGAAUUGGAGUAACUAAAGUCGAAAUCAAUUUUAACAUGUAUUUCAACUUGGUAAGUUAGGAAUUUUGACAUGGUAAUGUGCAUUUCAACCUCUAUUUUGAUAUGAACUUCUCAUGUCAAAAUUUUCAUUCCAACAAAAACAUCGUCAAAAUGGCUAUCCAAUUUUAACAUGAGGUUCUGUUUCUGUAUUGCUUAUUCAAGUGGCUAUAACUUCUUCAUUUUAUCUCCAAUUCAUGCACUAUUUGAGGCAUUAGAUUUUUGAAUUCUCAAGCUUCAAAUUGAUAUGUGUCCUGCUUGAAAUGAUCUUAAUGAAUCCUUCAAGAUUCACGUCAAAGUGAAAGUAUAUGCAACUAUGAGGCGAUCUUAAACUCUAAUUCCUAUAUUAAACUUCAAGUUUUAUAGCCUUUAGCUUUUCUUUUUGUGUCUCAUUAACCUUUAUAAACUUGUUUCUCAUAUCUCAUCCUUUCUCCAUUUUUAGUUGUCAAAGCUCUCAUUAUGUUUCUAUUAGGAUUGAGCCUUAGAAAGCAUGACAUAAUAUAUGAUUACUACUCAAAAAGUGCUAUUUCAUAGCUUGUAAUGAACUCUUUUGAGUAUUAGUUAACACCUUUUAACCCAAUUAACAUAUUAAGGACCCUUGCAAUCAAUUCUAAUCAAAUUGUGUUAAGUUUUGGUGUUUUGAUAGCUUUUUUAUCACCAAAGCAAUCAGAGAUUGAGGAGAGUUCUUUGGAAUGCAAGAAGUAAAAGAUGUUCGGACACACCAUCGGAUGGCGGCGGAAGUCAAUGAUCCGGACAACAUAUCCGGAUAGGAUAUGCUAUCGUCCGGGUGUGAUGUUCACGAGUGUCGUGUGCCUCUUCCUGAGGGAGUCCGGAUAGGGGGAGCGCGCCACAUGUCCUCUUGGGGAAUCCGGAUGGAGUUGAUCCGGAUAGCCUUGCGCGCUCCGUGUCAUCCAGGAGAGGGGUCCCUACACCUUGCACACGCAGAUGGUCCCCCUUGCGCAGCAUAGCUCAGUCCACCCGGGGAAGAAUUCCGUGCGCCAACAUUUCAUAUCCGGAAUUCCGUGCGCCGACAUUUUACAUCCGGAUAUCUCACAACCGGAUGGGAGAGGAGGACGUUUCAACUUCUCUAGUCAGACAUAUCCGGAUCCUCUGAUAGCGCUUACCAGGAGAGUUUUUCUCUCAGUAUGUAGUACUGCGGUGUUCUCCUGAAGCUUCCUGAUAUUUCUGACCGACAUCUUGAGAUAUUUCCGACCGACAUCUUGAGAUAUUUUGUUUUAGAUAUUUGUUGUCUAAAUCCCCAAACUCUCCUUGUAAUCCACCUAUCAUAGGAUUCCUUAGUCUUUAAGUAAGUACAAAGGGUGAAUAACCUCAUAUAUAUAGUUUGUAAUUUUCUUUACAAAGGGAUCGAUCAUGUAAUUAGUGAAAGGAAGAAAUAUAAUUCACAGAGCACUUGCUCUGUUUUUCCUUCAUAUAAUUGUUUUCUCGUUAGUUUUCUUACUAGCCAAACAAGCUUUGAGGAAGUUUCCUCAGAGAAUGAGUGGCUAGACUUUUAGUUCCUUGGAGUUAAGGUUGCCGGGAAAGGUUCCAAGUGCAUGAAUUAGUAGCUUUGUGGUUUCAGUCAUUAAUGAAGAGAAAGUGUGAUCCUUAAAUGAUUUCUAUGUUUUUAGUUAACAUAAAACACCUUCAAGUCACUUGAGCCAACACUUGGUAAGGCACGUGAUCUCCGUCCAUGAAGAUGCACUUGUUUAUCUCUUGCAAGCUUUUGGGAAGUGACUUGGAGGUAGGAUUUUCUAGAAUUGCCAACACUUGGUAAGCUUUUGGAUUACAAUGAGACAUCCAUUAGUUAUCUCUUGCGAGCUUGAGAAAGGAAGUCCAAAGUUAAAGAUCACCUUGAAUGGCAAAUGCUAGGUGAGAGGCACGAGCCAUUACAAGUUGCAUCAGUGAGAGAGAAUUAGAGUUGAAAUCCAUUUAAAGGUUACAUCUGUACAACACCGGUUAGAGAAUUGACUAUAUGUUAAUUCUCUAAUGCGAGGAAAUGAACCAAAUGACCAGAGCUCUGUUUUUGCAUAAGGAACCUUCCCUGUGAACCUAAACCUCCAAGGAAUGUUUUUCUUCAUAAGUAAUUUCCAUUACUUUCUUUUUGGUUAGUUUAAGACCAAACCCUUUUCACUCAAACAUCUUUAUGUUUUCUUUUAAAGCUAACCUUGAAAUGAAAAAGUACCAACUCAGCUUUGAAUUGGUAUCAGUGGAGAGUUGAAAACCCUUCCCAGUGAAUGCUCCUAGAGCCACUAUACUAUAUUAGCUAAAGCUAUCCUAAUGCAUGGUGAUAUAGGUUAUAAAUUUUGUUGAUCACUUCCUCAGUCAAGGAGCACCAGCUGGACAUGAAUCAGCUGAGACACCAAUUGGGAACGAAUCAAUAUAACAGAGUAAUAUUCAUUUAUAUUUAUUGAUAUAUAUUUCUUGGUUUCCCUUUAUUAUCUCAUAUGUGUUAAUUGAUUAUUUAAGCAUACACGCCCUACAUCACUUACAUUGUACAUGAUUUGGGUGCAUUAAAAGUUUCAUAGAAGAUCUAGGUCAUGGGUUUUUUUUAGGAUGAUGAGUUGUCUAUAGUUGGUUCAUGAAUUUAGGCAAUCAAUUUAAGAUUAUAAUGCACUACCUCCUGAUUGAAGGGAUGACUUAUCUUAGUCAUCGAGAUGGUUUUUUCAUGGUGAACACAAUAAUAUAUGUGAUGCACAUUGAAUAAGACUUAUAAUGAAUCAUGAUUCAAGGCUAUCUUGAUAGGUGAUAACACUCUCUUCUUAGAUUAUGGAUAUUAGUUCAUGGGGAGUCUGCAUGGAAUAAAUAUUAAGACACAAACCCAAGCUUUCGUUUUAUUGUAAUAACAUAGGAUACUAAAGUGCAAUUAAUUUUCUUUAGUGGAAUGUUAAAUCAACUUCAGAAUUGGAUUUUGAGGAAGCCAAUAUUUUUUUAUGGAUCCCAAUAGUUCUCACUCGAACUUCUAAAUCAAGGAAACACAUUUGUUUUAAGGAUAUUAGGUUUUAGGGUUCAUAAGUGUGCAUAAGAGUGUUUUGGUAAAAAUACAAGUUGCACUAGAUCAUAGAAAUUAACUUUUUGGCAUAGGUUAAUUAACUAAUUGGAGCCCAAUAGGGCUAAUUAAUUAAUUAGGAUCCAAGUGGGCUAGAUUAGGUUGUCCAAGCCUAAUUGAACUUAAGUUACUUAAGCCCACUAAGAGUCCUAAUACCCCUAAGGGUUUCCUACACUCUUUUACUGUCUUUUUCCAAAGAGCCUCCAUAGAGAUUGAGAAACCCUACUUUUCAUCUAAGAGAGAAAAGUCCACUAUUUUCUUGUGCCUAGAGUGUUUUAAGGAGAGAUCAUUGGAAGGCUAAUAGGUAGACAACAUCUCCUACGAAUUCAGACUUGUUCUUCACCGCAUAAAUUAGAUUUGGGAACAUCUAGAUCUAGGUAUGGUUUCUUUUUUCUAGAUUAUUAUUUUAUUUGAUUUUUUUUUACCAUUGUUUCUACUAGAAUAGUUUCUAGAGAAGCCUAGGGUAGAUUACUUGCUCUCUAUUCGAUCCAGGGUAAGGAAACGAAUAAAUUCAGAGUUCUCAUCAGUUUCACAUUCUUAGAGCUUCUUCUAAACAUAUUUGGCAUCUUUUCUACCAUGAAUGACUACUCUUGCAACUUGUAUCUUUAAACCUAAGAUUUAACUAAAGAUGUAUCUUAGAUAGACAAAGUUUUUAUCAAUAAUUCAAAUUAAGUUGAGUGAGUUGAGCCUUUAUAUUGCAUAACUAAUUCUCAAUAUGUGCCAUUAAAACACAAUUUGUGGCUCUAAUUAACUAGGAAGCAUCUAUUGGAGUAAAUUGACAAUAAAUUGAUAGAAUCAAGAAAUUUUGAUAUGGAAAGUGGAAGUGAAAGAGAAAAUUCAUUUCAACAUCAAAUCAACAAUAGAGGACAAACCAAUAUCAUUUUCUAUGUCAAACUCCUUUAUGUCCCUUUUAGUAUUGCAUUCUCAAUCUAUUACCCUCGGAUAUUUGGAGAUUAACAUCCGAUGUUGAAAUUUCAAUAGAGAAUCGAUUCUAAAGUUGAUUUCAACCCAAUGUCAACUUAUUAUGACUUGUUUCCUUCUUUAAAAUUGCUUCUUCAUGAUUUUUUUUUUGUCAGUUUUAUAUUAUAUUUAGACUGUUCCUUGUAGGAUUAGGGUUAGGAUUUAUUUAUAUAUUUUAUGAUUAUUAAUAGGGAUAUAAAUGGGUUAAAGGAGGAUAACCUUUAAAACUUUAGUAUAUUUUAAACAAUUUUAUAAUGAAGGAAUAAGCCAAUCUUGGGUGCCAUGAUAUCAAUCCUUUCCUUAUCAUGGUAUAGAACUUUGGCAAGUAUUAGGUUGUUUCUAUCAAGCUUUAACUAAUGAACCUUAUCAAACUUUAGACAUAAUAUGUGAAGAGAGAAUUGUAAAGAUGGAAUCAACAUUGGCCAUGUACUUGUUGGAUUAUCUUACAUCAUGUACUAUAAAUCUUGAUCUUAUUUCUAAAAAAAACGAUAUGAGUUUGUGAAUGAAAAUGUUAACCCUAGCUAGAAGGGAGACACUCAAUCUCCUUCUAUUGCAUCAUCAAAUUCUCUUACUAUAUGAGGGUUCCACAUGAUCAACAACCCUUAGAAAAUGUGCAUAGUGAAUACGUACAUAUAGACCCAAUUAGAGGUAAUAGUCAACUUGGAAGCAACCGGUGUUGAGAUGGAAAUUAUCAAUGUCAGACCAAGUGAAUUUACUAACCAAGUAACUCAAGUUUUGGCUGAAUUUGCGCUUGAGACAAAUACCUUUUUCUAUCAUUGAAUACAAUCAGAAAAGUGUUGAAUGAAACUUAAGCUUAAUUAUCUAAAAAUAUUGAUGAGUUUGAUGUUAUGGGCCUUGUCACUAUUGCACAGGAUUUUGAACUUGAAAUUUUUUCUGAAAAUGUGCAAGAGUUCAUUUACAAAUAACUCACUAAUAUUGGGAGGGGUGAUACUAAUCAUCAAAUACACCAUGAGCAUACUAAUAAUUCUUCUUAUGAGUAUAAUGUUCACACACAAAACCAAUAUUUUUUCAUAUAUAAAAGAAGGUUUUUAUAGAAAAAUUGAAUGCAAAUCAUUACCUUUUAAUUUAAAUGUAUGCUAAGUCCCAAAUUACUUACCCAAACAUAAACUAAGUUCUCACUUAUGACCCAUGUAACAAGCUACACCAAGUAAGAAGGAUAGAACAAUUAGCUCAUAUGGAGGGCUCUCUAAUUUAAAAGACUACAAAUUGUCUAGGAUUCAAAGAAUGAUUAUAUUUAUUAUUGUAGUGGAAGGUAAUAAAAAAAGUCUUGAUAGUGGUUCCACUACUAAUAUAUCUACUGGUUUGAUCCUAAAUAUAUUUAUUUAGUGAAGAAUGUUGAAAAUAAAAAAUAAAAAUCGGAGGACCCAAGGGCAAUGGAAGUAAGGUGAAGGAGUUGAAAAUGCAUGAGAGUGCACAAGAACAUGAAAAGACAAGAAAAAUGUCAAAUUGAUACCCUAGAAUGCAAAUUGAUACCACGUUGAUUCCGACAUCAUAUAUUUAAUUUGACAAGAUACAAUAUGAGUGGAUGUAAAACAAUAUCUAUGCCAACAUAGAAAGAUAUUACACUUAGCAAAUCACCAAGUCCAAAUAAUAAAGAUGAAAUUAAGUAAAUGAAAAAUAUUCGUUAUGUGCAAGUAGUUGAAAGUCUAAUUAUACAAUGACUAGUACUAGGUCGGAUAUAUGUUGUAUCAUGGUAUUAGUUAGCAUAUACUAAACUAAUCUUAGCGAAGAGCAUUGGCCAGCUAUUAAAAGAGUAUUAAGAUAUAUUUAAGGUACUAAGAAAAAUAAACUAUGUUUUACAUAAGGUGAUUAAAAAAAUUAUGGGUAUUCGUAUGCAAAUUUUACCAGGGACCAUGAUGACUAAAAAUCUACUAGUGGUCAUACACUUUUAUUUAGAGGAGGUGCAACAUCAUGGUUAAGUAAAAAAGCAAACUUAUGUUGCUAGGCAUACAAUAGAAGCUAAAUAUGUAGCUUAUAGCUAGUAUGGCAACCACCCAAGCCUUUUGGAUUAAGCACUUAGCUGACAAUUUGAUAGUUAAGAAAUCAAGAGUUUAAGGUCAAAAUAGUAUUUUUGAAGAAAAAUAGCCAAAGUAGAUAUUCUCCCGAAAUAUUUGUCAAUCUAAUCUUUGCUAUCACAUGUUCAUUCAUGUAACUUUUUUUUUUUUUUUUGAGUAUAUAAAACCACAAUUGGUCAUUGUGAUUUUAGUUUUAAAUUUAAAAUCACAGUUACUAACUGUAAUUUUUAAAACAACAUACCACUUUAACAAAUAUUUUCAAUAUGAGAUUGAUAAUUUUUUUAAAAAAGAAAAACUACUUUGACCGAAAACUCAAGAAAACAAUUGAGCUUGUGAAUUUGCUGUGUGAUCAUAUGACUACAAUAUAUCAUUUAUUUGACACAUCAAGUUCAAAAGUGAAACACAUUCAUGUGAGUUGAUAGAUUGGAUUGAUUGGAUUAUAGUUUUCCAUAUAAUUGAAAAGUUGUAAAUCUUUGUUAAAGAUUCCAACUUUUUAAAAAGGGAUGCAAUAGUUGAUUGUCAAAAGAUAUUUAUCUAAAUAUUUAUCUAAUUAAAUAAGUGUCUUUUCAAUGGCUAUGUGUUAAAAUUGAAACAUUGUGAUUGAAUAGAUAUGAGAAUAUAUUUGAAAAAGCAUAACUUUUAGUAUUAAUAGAUACAUGUAAGUCAAAUUUGUAGUUCUCUCAUUCAUAUCUAUAAUAGGUUUCUAUUGAUUUUGUAAGAGUCAUACUUCGUUUUCUUCUAUUUUUUUCCCCUUCUUUGACAAUGUCUACACAAUAGCCUCCCACCAAUAGUCCAUCCAAGAUAUAACAUCAGAAAAACUUUCUUGACAAAUUGGGCAGAUCAAGAAAACAACAGUAACUAUUGCAGCAGAAGCUUACAAAUUAUAAAUAGGAUCAACACAAUUUUAGGAAGAAGGCAUUUGGUAGUUGCUAUUCUAUUAAAGCCACUUCUGAUGAAUAAAAGCAGUUGAAAGUUGGUGUAUCAUUUUUGUUGGAUGUCAUCACAUAUGGUGAUUGUGGUAAAUGAUGAAAUAGUCAAUGUUUUCAUAAUUCAAUCAUUGGCAUUGAACUAAAAAAGUUAUUAAUUUAUAAUUUAUAAAUUUGAUAAGUAGUGAAAUCAUGAUGUUAACAUGAUACCAUAAAUAUAUAAUUUAUAUUUUAUUAAAAUUUAAAAUAUAUAAAUUAUUGAAAACUUUAAUAAUAUUCAUUUUUUCUUUGACAUUAUUCAAUUAAAUUAUGAUAAAAAUAAAUAUAAAUGUAUUGAUAUUUUAAAUUUUAUUAAAUAAAACAUUUAUAAUAUUUAAGUAUAAAGAUAUUUUCAAAAUGAAAAGAAAAUACAAUUGUUUAUUGUUUUAUAAUUUUGGUUGAGGUUGGAAUCCCAUUGCUGCAAAGAAAUUAAUUAACUUCUGUAAAUUUCUCUAUCUUUUAUAACCUAUCGCUCAAGUACUAUGAUGGGUUAGUGAAUACUUAAUUUGGAGGUUUGAUUCAUUGACGAUUGAUUUAAUUAACUCUAUGUAGAACCCUUAAUCAAAUAUUGAGAUUAAUAAUGUUUUCAAUGUUUAAGAUUUGAAUUUGAAACAGUUUCGCAUUUUUAGAAAAUUGAGAUCCUAUUCCCGUUGAGAUCUGAUCUUAGGAGCAUACUUAUUCCCAUUGAAUUUCAUUUAUUUUGUGUUGAGAUUUUUGUUGAAACUAUGUUUUUAAAGUAUAGGGAUUGAAAGCUACAAUAAAGUAUCAAUGGGGUGACUGUUAUAAUUAUAUAGGAGCAUCAUCCAGGCCUGCACCAACUUACAAAUCCACAAGGGACUAUUUCUAUACUUGGUUUGCACUAGAUUGCAAAUUAGUGAGGAAUCAUCUCAUUGAAAUCAUCCCCAAGCCUACAUAAGCACAAAAAUGAAUAAGAGUCCAUCUUAGUCCCCAAUUGAUCCUUCCUGGUUCUUUUUAUGUUAAGCCCUUAGGUAAUUUCCAACCUUAUUUUGAUUUAGAAGUAAUUUUUUUUUUUUUUUUUUUGUAGCUCUUAUAUAGUUUUCCACAUAGGCCCCUAUUUUUAUUUAAAACUUUAGUAUAUUUUAAACAAUUUUAUAAUGAAGGAAUAAGCCAAUCUUGGGUGCCAUGAUAUCAAUCCUUUCCUUAUCAUGGUAUAGAACUUUGGCAAGUGUUAGGUUGUUUCUAUCAAGCUUUAACUAAUGAACCUUAUCAAACUCUAGACAUAAUAUGUGAAGAGAGAAUUGUUAAGAUGGAAUCAACAUUGGCCAUGCACUUGUUGGAUUAUCUUACAUCAUGUACUAUAAAUCUUGAUCUUAUUUCUAAAAAAAACGAUAUGAGUUUGUGAAUGAAAAUGUUAACCCUAGCUAGAAGGGAGACACUCAAUCUCCUUCUAUUGCAUCAUCAAAUUCUAUUACUAUACAAGGGUUCCACAUGAUCAACAACCCUUAGAAAAUGUGCAUAGUGAAUACGUACAUAUAGACCCAAUUAGAGGUAAUAGUCAACUUGGAAGCAACCGGUGUUGAGAUGGAAAUUAUCAAUGUCAGACCAAGUGAAUUUACUAACCAAGUAACUCAAGUUUUGGUUGAAUUUGCGCUUGAGACAAAUACCUUUUUUCUAUCAUUGAAAACAAUCAGAAAAGUCUUGAAUGAAACUUAAGCUUAAUUAUCUAAAAAUAUUGAUGAGUUUGAUGUUAUGGACCUUGUCAUUAUUGCACAAGAUUUUGAACUUGAAAAUUUUUCUGAAAAUGUGCAAGAGUUCAUUUACAAAGAACUCACUAAUAUUGGGAGGGGUGAUACUAAUCAUCAAAUAGGUACACCAUGAGCAUACUAAUAAUUCUUCUUAUGAGUAUAAUGUUCACACACAAAACCAAUGUUUUUUCAUAUAUAUAAAGAAGGUUUUUAUAGAAAAAUUGAAUGCAAAUCAUUGCCUUUUAAUUUAAAUGUAUGCCAAGUCCCAAAUUACUUACCCAAACAUAAACUAAGUUCUCACUUAUGACCCAUGUAACAAGCUACACCAAGUAAGAAGGAUAGAACAAUUAGCUCAUAUGGAGGGCUCUCUAAUUUAAAAGGCUACAAAUUGUCUAGGAUUCAAAGAAUGAUUCUAUUUAUUAUUGUAGUGGAAGGUAAUAAAAAAAGUCUUGAUAGUGGUUCCACUGCUAAUAUAUCUACUGGUUUGAUCCUAAAUAUAUUUAUUUAGUGAAGAAUGUUAAAAAUAAAAAAUAAAAAAUAAAAAUCGGAGGACCCAAGGGCAAUGGAAGUAAGGUGAAGGAGUUGAAAAUGCAUGAAAGAGUGCACAAGAACAUGAAAAGACAAGAAAAAGGUCAAAUCAUACCCUAGAAAGCAAAUUGAUACCAAGUUGAUUCAGACAUCGUAUAUUUAAUUUGACAAGAUACAAUAUGAGUGGAUGUAAAGCAAUAUCUAUACCAACAUAUAAAGAUAUUACACUUAGCAAAUCACAAAGUCCAAAUAAUAAAGAUGAAAUUAAGUAAAUGAAAAAUAUUCAUUAUGUGCAAGUAGUUGAAAGUCUAAUUAUACAAUGACUAGUACUAGGUCGGAUAUAUGUUGUAUCAUGGUAUUAGUUAGCAUAUACUAAGCUAAUCUUAGCGAAGAGCAUUGGCCAGCUAUUAAAAGAGUAUUAAGAUAUAUUUAAGGUACUAAGAAAAAUAAACUAUGUUUUACAUAAGGUGAUUAAAAAAAUUAUGGGUAUUCGUAUGCAAAUUUUACCAGAGACCAUGAUGACUAAAAAUCUACUAGUGGUCAUACACUUUUAUUUGGAGGAGGUGCAACAUUAUGGUUAAGUAAAAAAGCAAACUUAUGUUGCUAAGCAUACAAUAGAAGCUAAAUAUGUAGCUUAUAGCUAGUAUGGCAACCACCCAAGCUUUUUGGAUUAAGCGCUUAGCUGACAAUUUGAUAGUUAAGAAAUCAAGAGUUUAAGGUCAAAAUAGUCUUUUUGAAGAAAAAAUAGCCAAAGUAGAUAUUCUCCCAAAAUAUUUGUCAAUCUAAUCUUUGCUAUCACAUGUUCAUUCAUGUAACUUUUUCUUUUUUUUUUGAGUAUAUAAAACCACAAUUGGUCAUUGUAAUUUUAGUUUUAAAUUUAAAAUCACAGUUACUAACUGUAAUUUUUAAAACAACAUACCACUUUAACAAAUAUUUUCAAUAUGAGAUUAGAUUGAUAAUUUUUUUUAAAAAGAAAGACUACUUUGACCAAAAACUCAAGAAAUCAAUUGAGCCUGUGAAUUUGCUGUGUGAUCAUAUGACUACAAUAUAUCAUUUAUUUGACACAUCAAGUUCAAAAGUGAAACACAUUCAUGUGAGUUGAUAGAUUGGAUUGAUUGGAUUAUAUUUCCCAUAUAAUUGAAAAGUUGUAAAUCUUUGUUAAAGAUUCCAACUUUUAAAAAGGGAUGAGUAGUUGGUUGUCAAAAGAUACUUAUCUAAAUAUUUAUCUAAUUAAAUAAGUGUCUUUUCAAUGGCUAUGUGUUGAAAUUGAAACAUUGUGAUUGAAUAGAUACGAGAAUAUAUUUGAAAAAGCAUAACUUUUAGUAUUAAUAGAUACAUGGCUAGAUACAAGUCAAAUUUGUAGUUCUUAUAGGUUUCUAUUGAUUUUGUAAGUCAUACUUUUUUUCUUCUAUUUUUUUCCUAUCUUUGACAAUGUCUACACAAUAGCCUUCCACCGGGAGUCCAUCCAAGAUAUACCAUCAUAAAAACUUUCUUGACGAAUUGGGCAGAUCAAGAAAACAACAGUAACUAUUGCAACAUAAGCUUACAAAUUCUAAAUAGGAUCAACAUAAUUUUAGGAAGAAGGCAUUUGGUAGUUGCUAUUCUACCAAUGCCACUUCUUAUGAAUAAAAGCAGUUGAAAGUUUGUGUACCAUUUUUGUUGGAUGUCAUCACAUAUGGUGAUUGUGGUAAAUGAUGAGAUAGUCAAUGUUUUCAUAAUUCAAUCAUUGACACUAAACUAAAAAAAAAAAUUUAAUUUAUAAUUUAUAAAUUUGAUAAGUAGUGAAAUUAUGAUGUUAACAUGAUAUCAUAAAUAUAUAAUUUAUAUUUUAUUAAAAUUUAAAAUAUAUAAAUUAUUGAAAACCUUAAUAAUAUUUAUUUUUUCUUUGACAUUAUUCAAUUAAAUUAUGAUAAAAAUAAACAUAAAUGUAUUGAUAUUUUAAAUUUUAUUAGAUAAAACAUUUAUAAUAUUUAAUUAUAAAUAUAUUGUCAAAAUGAAAAGAAAAUACUAUUGUUUAUUGUUUUAUAAUUUUGGUUGAGGUUGGAAUCCCAUUGCUGCAAAGAAACUACUGUAAAUUUCUCUAACCUUUAUAACCUAUCGCUCGAGUACUAUGAUGGGUUACCAGCCCAUGAAAGGAUUUUCGCGCCCACGAGACCCAUACUUGGGCCAUGCACUAACUUCUCCAUUUGGGCUGCAAAACUUGUCCAAAUUGGCCCGCCUGGUCCCCCGUAUCCGUGUCCGGUUUGUUAGGACAACGAAUCAAAAGGGAGAAUCAGAUGGGAAAGAUGUCCAGGUGAUGGUCCAACCAGUUGAACUGGUUGCUUUAGUCCGAUUUUGAAAACAUUGGAUAAAGCAGCUGGGUAUACAAACUUGCUUUGGUUGGUUUACUUUUCUAUCUAUUUUUAGGCACAGAUGGCUAUUCUUGGGCUACAGCAUUACCCAUAUAAGAUCCAUAUUCUGAAAUGUAAUUUUCAACAUCCAUUGUAUUUAUACUUGACGGUCUUUCCUUGUUUAUUCUUCAUUGUAGUCUCAUGCUCCUCUGCAACCAGCUUUCUUGUCCACAUAAAAUGUGGUCUCUUGAUUGAAAUUACUCCACUGGUUGCUCUAAUAAGGAUGGUAGAGGCAUGAAAUAUUCUGACAAUUUCUCUUGUAGUUGGGGAGUUGACCUAAAAAGCAAGAACAUACCGCACCUGUAUAGGAAGUUCCUGAAGAGAAGAAGAAGAAGAAGAAGAAAGGAAAAUAAAAAUAAAAAUAAAAAAACAAAACAAAACAAAAACCUUGGAACGUGAACAGUUAGCCAAUUAAAAUUGCUGUAGUUGAUUAGAUGUGUCCAAAAAAAAAUAACUAACAAUUUUUUACCAAUUAUAUGAUUUAAAAGACCCUAAAUCAUAAUUAAUCUCUCCAAUUUAAAUGUUCAAGCUGUGGUAGGUGAAAAGUCAUUCCUUCUAGAGACGUCUCACCUACUACGAUAAUAAAAGCAUUUUUCAAGCAUUGCUCUGGUUCAAAAUGCGCACCAGCGUUUCCCCCUCAAGGACUGUUGCUCCAUCUUUGCUACUAGCACUGAUGAAGAUCAUGGUGACGAUGCGUCUAUUUAAGCAUGAAAAUUUAAUGGUAGGGACAUUCAAUGUUAGGUGGAGUGAAAUGGUCUUUAUAUGAUUCAAAACGGUAACGAUAGAUGUAAAUAUUUGAUCUUUCAAUGAUGCCUUCUGUUCUGUGAUGUGUAAAAUUGCCUUAUGUUCCAGUCAAGAAAGGAUUAAUUGCUUUUGCCUUGGGCAGUUAUGUCCAAUUUUUCGACCCAUCACAUGUUAGGCAACAAAUUAACUUAGCUACUAGAAGGGUGGAAAAGAAGUGACACCAGCACUGAUGGGAGUGGUUGAACUACCCUACAUCCUUGUUAUUAUCCUAAUAUACAACUUCAUCUUCCUUUUUUGGAGCCAUGGUUUUAUGGUUUUUAAUACACCCGUGGCAGGGAAAAAGCAAAUAAUCCCAGUUAGGUAUUAAUCAAUUGAUUAAGAUCAUAGCAUAUAUAUGCUACUUUUUGAGGAAAAGUGCGACAAGGGCCUGUACUGAUCAUGUCAUACAUGUAUCAUCUUUGUCGAUCGGAGACCAAAUAAGAGAGUGGCUCCAUACAUGAUCAUGCAUAUGCUUUGGACUGGCUGAAGGGCAACUCAUAUUCCGGACAUGGAAAAAAGAAUAUGAAGCAUAUAUAUGACAAUAACAGCAGGAAGAAGCCAGAAGAAGAAAGAAAUGGGCCAUUUUACGUCGCAUCCACUGAUAUGCAUUGUUUUAACGACUUCUUUUUCCACCUGCUUCAGAGCCGUCUUCUAUGAAGCGGCAUGCAAAGGUCAAAUUUCAUACUUUAAGAAUUAUUGAUCAUAUAGGAAACUGAAAGUAUGUACUUAAUUGGUGUGUAUAUGUUGAUGCAAAGAAUGAAAUCCUAAUUCGAAUGUAUUCCGUCCUCAUUUAUUAUGCUUGCCACCUAUUCAGGGGGAAGUUGUGUUUUGGUCUGAGUGUGCAUGAUUGCUUGGCACAUGCCUACCGGCUGGCGUGAAUGAUUGUUCGGGUCUGCACAUGUCUAUCAAUUUCUUGCUUCCGAAUCAUUCCUCUUGUGGGACUUUUUUUGCCUUCCUGGAUCAACGUCACUGCCAAAUAUAUGCUGACCACAUGUGUCUUUGUGUUCUUUAUAGAUUGCUUAUGGCUUCUCUAAAGAGAUAUCAUCCUCAGAGAUCAAGUUUAUCACUCAAUUUACCACAUGAUUUCACCCGUAUCCACAGCCAUAAUUGCUUGGUAAGCUUACGUACAUGAUAAAGAUGACAAUGAUACCUCUGGAUAAUGCCAUUUAAAUUCCAUGUGCGACCUCCAUGCGCCAAGCCAUUGCUUUGUGGCAACACAAACGCAUGAUCAAGGGCUACCGUGCAAUCAUAUAUUGUUCUGCUGUCCUCUUUAUGGCAUUUGGAUUUUGAAUCCUAACCAUUAUUUACACAAUAAAAAUGAUAAACCCUAGAGUCAAUUUUUCAUGUUUCUUUAUUUCUGCAAUAAAAGUAAGCUCUGAUGUGAGAUAUCAUCCCAUCUGUGGAAUCAGAAGUAGAGCAACAGUUUCAUGUAAAUAGAAUGGAUCAACAAACUUUUCUUUCAUGCCCACACUCUCUGUGUACAAGAUGGAAAUCUGUCCCACAACACAAGUAGUGGGCGAAAUUCAUUAAAGUUUUGGCAGCUCAUGAUGGAAAAGGAACCGUACAUAAAUUGAUUUGGUUGACCCAUUAAUUAAGCAUAUCUCAUCAAUAAAGACAGGUAAUAUGGAUCUGAAUUUCUAUUAAAAGAAAACGCAUCUUACCUCCAAUGCACCGAAAUAAUGUGUCUGAUAAGAUCCUUGAUUUCCAUCUAAUGGCACUCUUUUUCAUUAGACGGUUUUCUGAAAAAGUAAGGCUAUGGUGAACUGAGUAGUGAUGAUCCCAGUGCAGGAAGCAAUUUUGCAGGAAAAUAUUUUAUAGCAUAACAAAUUAAUAUGGAGCUUCCUCACAGUGGAGUAUUAAUUUAUCUAUCUAGUAAAUGGAGAAACAAAUUAUUGUGGUACCAUGAAACUGGUUCCGUCUACUUUUCUCCUUUGAAGGCUGAAUGAAUUCCUGACUUUGUGAAUGUAGAUGUAUACUUGAACUUAGGAGUCCUUAAUGAGAAACAAGAGGAUAAUUUUGACCAGUCAUUGCAUAGCGAUCUGGAAAGCUGUGAUUAUGCCCAGAAAUUGCCCCCUUCGUCUCUCUCACACACUCGCGGAGAUGCUCUUUCAUAUAGAAAAAGGACACCCACACUGAGAUAUUCUGCAACAAGGGAAACUACAAAACAAUAUCAUAAUGUGGGCACAUCUCAUAGUUGUGAGGGUUCAUCUGAGCAUAACCAUAAACACCCCAACUCAACAUUAACUUGUCUUUUCUGCUCAUACUGUAUCAUAUAUUGGAUUCACAUGGGGUCAGGAAUCCAAAAGAGACUGCAUAUCUAGCUACACCAAAAAAAAAAAGGUGGGGAAAUGAAGAAGGGAGAGAGAGAGAGAACUUAUUCAAAUUCACAUCAACAAUCCUCCUUGUCAUGGAGGUAGCGUGGCUGCUUUUUAAUUUAAUUUUCUGUGUACUUCAACAGAAAUUCCAAGAAAAAUAAAGUGUUUUAAGUUCCGACAGACACUAUCUACCGAGAAAUCAAUUGAGCCUUUGAGUUAAGCAUUGUUAGGGCCUAUCACAAUAAAAAAUCAUGUUGUGAUUUGUUUACUAUUAUCUUCAGCAUGACAAGGGUCUGCAGACCAGUAUUGCCAUUUUAUAUGAUUGAUUAUCACUACACAAAGAAGGGUCAACUAAAUCAGUUCAAGGACGAGCUAAGGCAGAUAUAUAGACAGAAUAUUGACUAUUAGCCUUACAGCAUGUGGACUUACAGAUCAUAGCUGUAUUAAAUUAUUAAGCUAAUUAGAGAUUCCUUGAGUUCUUGGGAGUCAAACAAGAAGCAUCUUUUUUUUCUUAGAAAUUAAUGUAAAUAAUCUGACGAGAUCAUAAACAAUCAACACAUGAAUCUCUACUUUCCUCAUUAAUCUCUGCAUAUAGUUCAUUUGAUCUUUGCUGGUCUGAUUUGAAACUCAUUAGAAAAAGAAAAAGAAAAACCCACUAGAGUCCCUAUUUUCCAGCCAUGGUUUACAGACAUGAAGCUGUGGUCCAUUGCCAGAAAAAGCAGGCUCCACCUAUAAAAAAAAAACCAUUUAUAAUAUUGAUUCUCCAACCCAUAAAAGCCAACAGUGGAUGCAAAGAAUCAGGUUCCCAUUUAUUUUUUACUGGGUUCAUCUCCUUUUCAAUUGAGUGCCCAGAGAAAUCUCAUGGGAGCAUUAUAGAAGAUAAGGACAACUGCACCAAACCUAGUGGGACGAGGAAGAUACUGAACUAUUUUGUAAGGUAGGGGACUGUUUCAACGCGCUUCGAAGAUCUCCAUGACUCUAAAGUCUAAACAAAGCAGAAAAUUAAAUAUAGGAAACGCGGGAAACAAUAAAGGAAAGAGCUAGCCACACGACUUGCAGUCUUGUUCAAUCUUCAUAGAAUAUUUAUUACUUCGCUUGAGGUUUGUAUGGGCUUCCUGCUCUAUUUUAGAAAUCGUAUAUUUGAAGGAAAGAAAAAAAAAAAUCUCUGCUGCAUUCUGUGAAUGUCUCUGUCAUGCGUGGCUGGGGUUUCUUUGGAUAAGAUCAGUUGAUUCACUUGUGCUCAUAGCUUGUACGUGAGAUUUAAUUUUCUGGUUGGAAAAUAAAGCUGUGAUGGAAUAUAUGGUCAUGAAUAUGGGCCGGAACCCCAUCACAGACCCUCAUCAUAAAACAUACGGGUCAUGUUAUGAGUUAUGACAACAUCAUAGAAUGAUGUUAUGGAUCAGUAGCGUCGAGAGAGGUAGCUAGCUAGUAAUAUAGAAAAGCUCCAAAUUAAGAAAUGAGAACCCCAAGCUCAAUGUAAAAUGCUGCAGAGCUCUAGUUUUACUUUUAGGCAAAAUGGGAAUGAGCUUUGAAAUUAAAAAUAAUUUCAUUCUCAAGUGUAAUUUUCUGAUUAUAUGGAGACCAAAUUAGGAAAGAAACCAUAAAGAGUAGGUCUCCACUUUUUUCUGGUUCAAAAACCCAUUGCUCUGGAUACGAGGAGUCCAUCCCACAUUAAUGAUGAUGCAGCAUGCAUGCAUGGGGUAGCCGAGGGCCAAACUGCUUUGCGAGUCUUAGAGUGUAUUAUUAUUGUGCAGAUAAAGAUUGCCAAAUUUAGGCCCAUAUGGGCUCCCACACCAACUUUAGGAAUUACGAGUCUUCUUUUGCUUGAUUUCCUUUUCAUACACCCACUUAACUCAAAUUUAUCCAAUCUUCAAAUUUCUAAAAUUUUCUACUCCAUUCAUUCUCAAGAGAAGGAAAGGCUGAAAAUUAUUUGAAAAUAGAUUUUUUUUUUCCUUCUUUCUUUCUUUCUGUCACUCAUUGUCAACAUUAUCCCUUUUCAAAGGGAGCCAAACAAAAAAGGACCAAUACUUAAAAAAAAAUAAAUAAAUAAAAUAAAAUAAAUGGGUGUGAUGAAUUAAUACUGAGAGGGUCAAGGCUCUUAAAUGAAAGUAAGUAACUUACCAAACAGAAGAAUAAAAAUGAAACAAGACGUACAAGGAGCAGCAGCUACCCCCAACAAGGAAAAUAAUAAAAAUGAAGGUGGUUCAUUAAACAUUGAAAAUUGUACAAUCUCUACUUCCUCACUAUGCUCAUCAGAUUUAAUGGCCAUUUAAUUUCUUGCAAUAAAUUUGUUUCUAUGUCCAACACAGCUGUACAAUCUUCUGAUUACUCCUGAGCAACACAAAUUUGUAAGCAUAUAGUUAUGAGAACCUACCAACCAAAAAAUAUCAAGCUACGCUUGCAAUAAAAUAUGAUUUUUUUUCCAAAGUACUUCUAUAAAAUGAACGACCAGCUGUACACUGACAGAAAGCGUAAUAUUACUAAUGUUUUAAUAUAGAAAAAAAAUAAAAUAAUAAAAUAAUGAUAUAAUUUUAAUGGGUUUGACUUCCAAACUGCCUUUAAAACAUUGUGACUAAAUAGUUAAGAUACAAGGAACAAGCAUCAUUUGUUGUCACAUGUAAGGGGAGUCCAUUAAAAGAAUAUGAACAAAAGAGAAAAAACAUUAUUAAUUAUCCUUUUUAAAAUAAAUUCGAAAAAUGUGAACAAAUUAAUUUAGAAAAAAUUGGCCAAAAGAAUGAAACCUUUCCUUGUAUAAAAUCAAUUAUUAUUUCUAUAUAUACGCCAACAAUUUUUGUUUGAUUUCAUAAAAGAAAUUAUUGAAUUCAAUGAAUUAGAGGGCAGUAGACAAAAACAUUUUUAAAAAUGAUUGUUGUUCAUAAAAUGCAAAAUCGUGUUUCCUUUACUCAAUAAUACGUUCAAUUUUGCCUAAGCAACAACUUUCACGAGUGAGUAUGUUUUGAAGUGAUGGAAUGAAAAUAUUAUUUUGGGUUUUAAAAGUUAACAAAUAAUUCACUAAUGCCUUUGAAAACGAAAGGAAUUGAAAUCAAACUAUAAACCAUAUAGUGAAAGGCAUAUUUGAAAGGAAUUGGGAAAGACAAUGUGACCAAAUUUGGAAUUGGAAUGGGGGAUAAACAGAGGAAAGUGCAAAAAUGAGUGCAUGAUGAUGAUGAUUCAGUGUUGAAGAAUGUCUUAUGCCAAUUCCGUAAGGUAGUAGACAAGUUGUAUUACUUUAUAUUUUUAGAUGGGGCCAUCCCCCUCACCCACUCUCUCAUUGCCCUCAGUUCUAAGCUAUCGUCUGCCUCAGAUAAAACCGGUUCUGAUCUUUCUGUUUCCCUCCUUUCUUUAUUUCUUUUCUUUUCUUUUCUUUUCUUUUUUUAUCAGACUGUAAAACUGCAAACCUCAAGUGCAAUGUUUUUUAAAUGGAUUGAUAUUAAUCUCUUUUAAUUUUCUAUUAUUUAUAUCUACAUUAAGUAGCAUAGGGUAGCUAUAGAAACUUUAGGAUAACUUUAGUAAAGGCAUUGAAACAUAUACAUCGUUUUUUUCUUUUUUUCUUUUUUUCUUUUUUAAGUGUAGUAAUUUUUUGAAUAGUUAGUGUAAAAAAAAAGUGAAUUGAGUUUUUUGAAAAGAUAAAUUUAGUAUAAAAAUUUUAUAAGAAUUCACAUUUUUAAAAAUGAACUCUUUGAUAAUGAAAAAAUGAGAGUUAUCAAAUAAAGUGGGCCAAUGAUGAUAAUAAUCAGGAUGGGUCAUUUUAUCUUAUAAAUCCCUACAAAUGACCAAAAUUAUUAUCAGUUUUUUUUACCAUUUGAAUGACUUUUUAAAUUGUGGCUUGAUAGAAAUAAGAGAGAAAGAAAAGUAAAAUUCUCUAGUUCACUUCACGAUUGAAAUUUGCAACUUGAUCAAUAUAUGACUUAUUAUAAACAAGAGAGAAGGAAAUCAAAUUCAAGCUUUAAAUUUUCACAUUCCCAUCUUCUUGUCGUACUAGUCUCCUUUUCCUUCUUUAUAAAUGACAAUGUGGAGAAGUUUAAGAAAACCCUUCUUCAAAAGGUACGCUAAUUUCUUUCUCUUCAUAGAUAUUUUUAUUUUUGUUUAAGAAAUUCAUUUUAUAGAGAUUUCAAUUUUUAGGAUUUUAUUUUGGGCAUUUGAAAAUCCUUUUAUAAUAAUUUCACUUUGGGUAUAUGAAAAAUCACUUUAUUGUGAUUUGAAUUUCUAAGGUUUGAUUUUGAUAAUUAGAGAAAUCUCAUUUUCUUAAGAUCCAUUACAAAACAAAGUAGUGUAGUUUAAAAAAUUUGUUUAUAACUUAAACAUCAAAUUUUUACAUGAAAAAUUGUAAUAUCUUUUGUUUCAUGAUUUAUAUAUAUAUAUAUAUAAAUUAUAUUUUUACUACUAUCAUUUUCAUCCUUUGUUUUCUCUUCUUGUUUCAACCUUCAUAUCUUUUUUUUAUAUGCAUUUUUGGAGGUCUCUUUGCAUUUUUAACCCUGUUUUUUCUUUUUCUUUUUUGUUUUUUUUCAAUUUUAGGGUUGAUUUUCAGGGUAAGUACUCAUAUCUAAAUUUUAGAUUUUUAUUGCUUUAAUUAAUGUCCUUGCCUUAUUUUUCAAUUUGUGAUUUAUGUAAUUGGUAAUUGAGAUACUUUUUAUAUAAGUAUAUUGAGCGGAUAACAAAAAUUUCUAUAUAUGAACUAAGAUUCUCUAUGGAGGUCCUCAAAGCACUCUUUGUUUUUAUAGAAAAAGUUCCCUUUUUCAGGUUUUGUUUUUUUUCCUUUAAGACUCCAUUUAUGAAAUAUGGGAAAAAGAAAGUUGUCAUGCAUUUUCAAUAGUUUUAUGAAUAAAAUAAGUAUUUAAUCCUAAAAUUUGUUUAUACAUUUAUUCCCUUUUUUAUGUUAAGGUCCUCAAAGAUAUUUUUGUUUCAAAAAAAAAAUAUAGUUAAGUGAAAUUAACUUUUCUUGAAUUUUCUCUUAUUUCGAGCUCUAUUUAUAAAACCUAAGAGAAAAAAAAUUGCCAUGCAUUUUCAAUAGAUUCAAAAGUAAAAUAUGUGUUUAAGUCUGAAAUUUGUUUAUACAUUUAUAUAAUAUGUUUCUUUCUUUUCUAAUAUGAUGAUCAUUUUUUGGAAAAAAAAACUUGUGCUUAAAAAAGUACUUAGUUGGUACUUUGGUUGGAGACUGUCAUUGGCACACGACUUGAUACUCAAGUUCAUUGCAAGCUUACUGAUUUAAAAACACAAACUAUUGAUCAGGUUUUGUGAAUCAAUAAUAUGAAUUGGCAAUAGUUAGUAGUGCAACAAUGUUACUACACAAAGCUUUUAGUCUAAGGCAACACUCUUAUUUUUUAAAAUAUAUCACCGAAGAACAAUAAAAUGGUCAUGUGAGAGUGAUUAAUGCAUGUUGGCGUGUAUUUUACUUUGUAUUAUUACUAACCUUCUUUGAAAAACAUUGGUUUUGCUCCUAGAUCAUAAUCAAAAUAGUGAAUUAGAACAUAUGGAACCAUCUCUUUAUCUUUCUAUCAAGAAAAAAUAUGGUAGAUUAAUUGAUAUAUCAUUUAAUGAAAGAGCCCAAUGCAAAAAAAAAUGCAUGUUGGGUCUUUGAAACAGUUCAAAUCAUUUUGAUUUGUUUUAUCGAGGUCUAUAGUUCGAGUCCAUAAAACCCUAAUAUAAUAAAUAAGCCCUAUAAAAUAAAAAAAAUAUGAAAAAUAAUAUAUAUAUGAUUAUUAGUCCAUUUAAUGUAGAUUUGGAUUACUUUACAUAUACAUUAUUUUUAUACAAAAUAUAUGAAUGACAAUAAUAUACUACGCUUAUAAUAUAAAUAUACUAAUAUUAUAAUAUAUUAUGACAUGACCUAAUUAGAAGCUUUUGAACUUGUUUACGAAAGUGACAAUUAUGGUUCAUUAUUUUAUACUCUUUGACAUAUUGUACGUCAUAAAAAAAACUUAGAAGUGAAAUAUAGUAUCAAUUUGAAUUCACAAGACACAUAGGUUUUUUCUUUUUAUUUUAUAAAAUUCAUUAUGUAAUAAUUUUAAUGCAUUGAGUGAAUGAUGCUCAUACACUAGUGUGUUAUGUUAGAUGCCAAUAAGUAUAAAAAGACAUCGUUACUUGUAUUAUAAAAUUUUGGUAAUGACAAAAAUGCAUUACACUUACAAUAUAAAGAGACUCAUUACUAUACAUUACAACAUGACUUAAUUUAUAAAGUUUUAAAUUUUUUUUAUGCAAUUGUUAGGUAUAGGUUACUUUGUUAUAUUCCCUACCAUGCUUUAUGUCAUAAGUCAACGCUAGAUGUUAAAUAAAGUAUCACUUUGAAUUCACAAAUGUUAUUUUAAAGAAAUAACUUAGUAUUUUAUCAAAAAGUAUGAAUUAAUAAUAACCUAAAAUUGUUUUCUUGUAAUUUUUAGGAGAAGAUGACAAAUACAAGGUAAAGUUUCUAACAUAACUUAUAAUAUUUGAUGAUAAUGAAGUUCAAGAUAUCAUUUAUCACUGCAUAGAGAACACACGAAGUCCAUGAUGCUUUAUUGAGAGUUCAUUGAGAAUGUUUGAAGAUAAACAAUAUUGGAAUAAUUUACAUAUUAAUGAAUUUGCUAUAUUCCAUUUAUAUAUUGGUGAAUUUUUCCCUUUUAAUUUGUUUUGUUAGUUAAUGGGUAGUCCAUUGAUAUGUUAUUUCUUUAGAGAAAGAAUUUAGUAUAAAAUGAUAAUCAUACCAAAAAGUCAAAUAUUUAGGCAAAGGAAAACUUGAUUGUUUUAAUAUUUGUGACAGAUGUUUUUUUUCCCUCAAUGUAAUAUGAUAAUAAUUGCUAGUCAUCUUGUUAAAAAAAAUUUGUAUGGGUACUAUUCAACGCAAGCUAGAAGUUUCUAUUAAUUGUCUUACUAUAAAUUUUUAAUACAUAUUUUCCCAAUUAAAUAUGAAUCAAUGUUACUUACAUUUACUUCAUUACUUAGAUAUCAGUGCAUAGAAAAAAUUCUUAGUGAUGUAAAACAAUUAAAAAAAAUUAUAUUAGAUAUUAUUGUAAGGUAUUAUAAUGUUAGUAUAUUUAUAUUGAAAAUAUAAUUGAUUUAUGUCAUUCUUAUAAUUUAAAACAAAAUUUGUAGUUUUAGAGAUGCCUUUUAUACCUUAUGGGUACUAUUAGCAUCAUAUAUUCGAUGUAUUAAAAAAUGGAAACUAUGAAAAAAAAAAAAACUCAAAGUCAAGCAAAAAACAUAUUAUUCAAAUGAAAAAAAAUCAAAUAUGAAAAGAAAUAAUUAUACAAUUUUUUAAUUAUUUUAUUAUAAAAAACCAAAUUAUCCGAAAAUACAUUUUCCUUCAAUUAUUAUUUUUCUUUUCUUUUCAAAAAUGAGAUUGUUAUAAAGAACCUAAUGAAAGGGAAUUUAUGAUUUCUAAAAUAAAAACCAAAUCCAAGAUCAAUAUGAGUAUCUUCCAUCAAUACAACAAAACAAAAUUAAAUAAAAAAAAAAUUCAACUUAAAAGACAAUAAAUUUGAGCAUCAAUAUGGGUUUCAUAUUAUCUUUGGCUUCAAAUGAUAACAGUUGAUCUAACGGUUCAGAAAAAAAAAAAUUAUGGGAGAGCAUGAAGUAUUUUUAUAACUAGAUUUGUUGUUGGAUCUUCUUCGAGGAUAUGCAAGAGAUGAAGAAGAAGAUUAACACAAAUGGCCUUUGGAGGAAUUUUUACACUUUCUUCCCACCCUUCCCAAGACUUCUCAUAAUGGAUGAUUCCAUGGGGUCAUUAUCACCAUUAAUCCACCCUAUUUAGUAAUUUUCCCUACAAAAAAAGUGCAAGUUUUGCGUUAAAUUAUCAUAGAUAAGAAAGAGUAAUUUUUAAUAUGAAAUUAAAUUAUUUAAAAAAAAUAAAGAAUAAUGAGUGCGCAAAUCAAAAGAAAAAAAUGGUUUAGUUUGAGGGAAAAUCAAAGUAUGAAAAAAAAAACAAAAAAGUUUCACGAAGUGUGAGAAAAAAAAUCAUUUUAAAUUUAGUUAGAGAGAAUUUUAGAGAGUUUUAUUUUUCGAAGAAAAAAAUGAGUUUGAAAAAAAAAAAAAAAGAGAGAAGGAAUUCUAAAGAUUGAGUUUUAGUGAAAGGGAAUAUUUAAAAUUAAUAAAUUAUUGUGUAAAAAGGAUGUUUAAAACAAAUUAAAUUUGGUGUUUGUAGAGUAAAAAUAAUUUAAAUAAAUACAUUAACCAUCAACAAAAAAAAUAUAUUAAAAUACUAAAUUAAUUAAAAUAUAAUAAUCCUAUAGAAGGAGAGUUAAAUAAUAGUUCAACCAAUACAAAAAAAAUGUCAAAAAUGUUGAACAAGCUUAAGAUCAAGUAUAAAAAAUAAAAUAAAAAGUCAUUAUUAUUUUAUAAAAAUUUUAAAAUUAUACUUGAACUUUUUUUUCUCUUUUAAUUAGAUGAAUAUGAAUGUUUCAAUUAUUAUUUGAAUUGCAUUUAUGACAUGGUUAACACAUAUAACAUAUUGAGAUACUCAAUGUAUUGUAUUAUACCGUAUCCAAUAAAUUCAACUAGAUUAGUAUACAAAAAAUUUUACUAUCAAUGUCCAAUAUUAAUUUGAACUUAUUAUUCAAUUAGCAUACUAUUUCUUGUUUGGUUAUUUAAUAUUUAUGAAUUAUAACUACAAAAUAAUUUUUACUAAUACUAAUGCAUAUGAUAAAUUUUGGUUAUUAGAUUAUAAAUUAGUUGAAAAUAAUUUUUAACAAAACAAUAUUUUGUCUUUACUCUUUCUAGACAUAUCUUCAAGUUAUAUAAUUAAAUAAAUUUUAAUUGUUUUCCAUCUCUUAAGACUUAAAUUUUUAUUAGAAAAAAAUAAGUUAAGAUAUAUUAUUUUAUUAAAUAAUAUAAUGUAAUUUUUAAUAAAUAUUGAAUAAUUUCAAAUAUUAAUAUAAAAAAUAUGAAAUCAAUCUAAUUAGUAUGGUUUUAAAAAUCGAAUCGGACCGCUCGGUCCAACCGCUGGCCAAUCACGGUUUCAAUUUGAUUAAUUAGGUCGAAAAUAGUUUGAAUUGAAAUCGGACCCAACCCUUGAAUUAGAGGAACCGAUCGAUUCCAUCCGAACCGAAUGAACCCUGGUUGCUUAUUUUCAAUCUAAUUAGUAAACUUAUAUAAUUGCCUAAUAAAAUAAAAUACACUCAAAUUAAAAAGAAAAAAAAAAAGAAAAAAGAGUGCAAAUGUUGGACACAACCUUGGUUGCUUAUUUUCAUGACUUUAAACUCUGCUUUUUAAGAUGGAACGUGAUUCAUUCAAGUUAAGAAAUCCUUUAGGCUAUAUUUGGUUCCCGAAAAAUUUGAGAGAAAAUGCGAGAGAAAUAAAAUAGAGAAAAAAAGUGGAAGUAAAAAAAAUGAAGGAAACUAAAAAAAAUAGAUUCAAAAUUAAUAUAUUAUUUUUACAUGUUUCUUCAAGCUCAUUUCACUUAAUUUCCUCCAUUAUAUAAAGAUUAAAUAAAUUUAAAAUAUAUGAAUUUUUAACUAAUUUUAAUUAUAUUUAAUUUUCUUUUAAAAAAUUUGUAGUGAAACUAAAUAUAAGAAAAUUAUUUUUCUUUGCAUUUUUUUCUUUUCUUAUUUCUUUUUGGGAACCAAACAUAACCUUAAUGUACACUUAUUUUAGGUACCAAUGGACCUUUAUCAUUCCAUCAAAAACUUAAUAUACUACAUUGGAAAACAAGAAGUAAAAAACUAGUUUUGCAAAUUGAAUACAAUUAUGAAAAAAAAAAAAAUAGUUUCAAGGUGCAAUGAAAAAAGUUUACAAGUUUUAGAAUAUUGCACAAAAAAAUAUAUUAACAAAAUCUCAAGGUUUAGACAACAAACUGAUUUACAAGUAGUAAUCUUUCUAUGGAUGAAGUUUAAGAGCCUUAAAAGAGAGGUUCAAGUCAAAACUAAUCUUUAGAUAUAAGUUAUAAUUUAACUAAUCAAUCACUUAUUAUGUAUUAUACUUUUUGGGCAACCUUGGACUGUUAGCCACUGCAACCUACAACUUUUUCCCACUGCUCAAUUAGGUUAUGUUUGGUUUGGGGAAAGUAUUAAAGAAAAAAAAAUUAAGAAAAAUUUAUUUCCUUAUGUUUGAUUUUUCUAUAAUUUAUUUUUUAAGAAAAUUAAAUAUAAUUAAACUUAGUUAAAAAUUUAUAUAUUUUAAAAUUAUUUAAUCUUUAUAUAAUGAAGGAAAUUAAGUGAAAUGAAUUUGAAAAAACAUGUAAAAAUAAUUUAUUAAUUUUGAAUCUAUAUUUUAUUUUACUUUAUUUUUUCUUUCAUUCCACUUUUCUUUUUUCUUUUUUUCCCCUUACAUUUUCUCUCAGAUUUUUAAGGAAUCAAACAGAGGGUAUGAAUUUGAAUAUUUUUUAGCUAUAAAGGUCCAAGAAUUGGUUCAAUUGAAUAUCCAUAUAAUUUUGGAGGAACAUUUUAACAAUAUUAAUAAAUGUUUAUUCGAAUUGAAAAAUAUAUUUUAACUAAUGAUAAAAAUGAAUCAUGUUAAAUUUGAGCUUUUAAUUUUGUAUGAAUCAAACUCUUUGUUUUUUUUUGAAGAAAAAAAAAAUCAACAAUGCAUAAAUGGGUUUUUUUUUUUUAAAUCUUUAUAAAACUAUGAUUCUUUUUCCUUUAAAAAUGUUUAAUUUUUAAAUGUCAAUAUUAAGGCAUAUUUAUUAUCAUUGAAAAAAAAAUAUCUUUUGAUUUUCUUUUCAAUGUCAUUAAAAUUAAAGUCAUAAAUUAUAUGCUAAUCUUUAAUAGAAUGAUUCCACUUUUACCAUCACUUUCGUUAUCUACCUAGCUAUUGGGGAACUCAUGAUGGGACGUGAUAAAAAAAUGAAGUAAUUAUUUCACAAGUUAUUUAUCAAUUUUUUUUAAAAAAUCCUAAUUACCAUAACAUCACAAGAUUUUCUAUAAAUUAUUUUGCCAAACAUUAUGAAAAUGAUGAGAUAAUUUAAUGCUUCUAAAAUUAUAAUAAUUGAAGAAUAAGAUGAGAUUUGAUAGUUGUGGUGAAGUCUAAGACCGCGUUGAGUGUAAUCUGUAAUUAGAGAUAGUGGGGAAUUUCACGAGGCUUGUCAGUAGGCAAAACGCUGGAGUUUAUGCCCCAAUAAUCAAAUCGGGAAGCAGAGAUUCAAACGACAACAAACAAAAGCAAUAGCGGCUAGACGCGUGAAAAAUCCUUUAUGACGUAACGUGCCCCCCACUCAGAAAUCGCCACGUGUGGCACACGCGUCUUCUGAAUUACUUGAAAAUUGAGCAUCCAUUGAGUGUGCCCUGUCCCUUCUGUUUUUACCGAGUCAGUGAUGGACUUGUUAUAUUUUGAAUCCCACUCUCAUCUGCCACUCAUUAUCCUUCUCUACAUGUUUUAAAUAACUGAAAUUACUCUUAAGUGAGUCCACUCGACUACGGGGAUAUAUGAUUCACUCUCUUCUCAUAAGUUCAACUUCAAUUUUUUUUUUGGAUAAAGACAUGGUAAUAUGUACAAAUUUUCUUAAUUCUUGCAAAAAACCGUGACGCAUUAUUUUUAUUUAUUUAAAAAAAUAUGGGUAUAUUUGUGGAUGGAAGGCUUGGAAGCCAUAAUCUUGUACAGGUGAAUGGUGACAGACUUCAUUUAUGAUGGGGUAGUACUAUAUAAUAUUCUUUGUUUUUGGGAAGCAAAACUCUUAAACUUAAUAAUGAAUAAUUUUCUACCUGUUUAAGACUCAGCCUAUCAAAAUAAAACGGCCAAAACCCGGCCUUUAUCUCUCCGUAACUCCUAUAAAUUUCUGGUUCCAACGCAUCAGACACGCCAACAUUCUCGCUUCUUCUCCUCACUUCUCACUUCUCACUUCUCAAACUGAAGGAGAUAGAGAGAGAAAUGCAUAGACAACAUAAGCUUUUGAGCCAUCUCUUUCUCAUUUUCUUAUUCUCAGCUUCGUUUCCCAAUGUAGGAAUGGGUUUUUUUUCUUUUCUUUCUUUUGUUUUCUCAAUAAUUUUUCUUCUUUUUUCACACCCUUUCAAUUCACAAUGCAGGUUGCUUUGGGCGGAGCCGGUGAGGAAUCGGGCAAACCGGUGGCUGGAGAAAACCCAUUCACACCCAGAGCGUCUUUGCUUCGGUAUUGGAAUAAGCAGAUCGGCAGUGGCUUGCCAAAGUCCACCUUUCUUCUCUCCAAGGCAUCCCCAUUGAGCGCGGUUGAGUCGGCCACCUUUACUAAACUUGCCGCUCAAAAUGCGCUUUCCGACAAUCUGCCGGCGUUCUGUAAGUCUGCGAACCUGCUCUGUUUUCCCGAUUUGGGGCAGAGCUUGGAGAAGCAUGACGCUAGUUCCAACUUCGCCGUGUAUUCGAACAAGAAUUUCACCAAUUACGGAACGGAUGGACUCGGGGGAACGGACGCCUUCACAAAAUACUCGGAGGGGGUCAAUCUUCCUGUCGACGCAUUCAAGCGCUAUAGCCGUGACUCCGUCGGCAACAAUGAUAAAUUCGAUAAUUACGGCCGCGAGGGCAACGUCGUGGAUCAGAGCUUCAGCGGCUACGGUGCCGGGGCUACCGGCGGCUCUGGAGAGUUCAAGAAGUACAACGAAGAGGUUAAUGUUCCCAACCUUCGAUUCAACUCCUACACAGACGAUGGCAAUGGCCGUCAACAAUCAUUCACGAGUUACACAAAUGAGACCAAUUCUGGAGAUGAGUCCUUCAGUAGCUACGGCAAGAACGGCAACGGAUCUCCGAACGAGUUCACGAGUUACGGCAGCAGCUCCAACGUCAUCGGCUCCACGUUCACCGGCUACGGUGAAACCGGCAAUGCCGCCAACGAUACGUUCAAGAGCUACGGCUUUGACGGCAACGUGCCAGAGAACAACUUCAAGAAAUACGGUGAUGGUGGUAAUGCGGGGACCGAUACUUUCAUAAGUUACAGAGAUCAAUCCAAUGUAGGAGACGACUCCUUCAAAUCCUACGCCAAGAAUUCCAAUUCCGCAGAGGUGGAUUUCGUCAACUAUGGGAAAUCGUUCAACGAAGGUACAGACACUUUCGCUGGGUACGGCAAGGGAGCGACGAACCACAAAAUUAAUUUCAAGAUCUACGGCGUCAACAACACAUUCACAGACUACGCUAAAAAGGGCAUCUCCUUUUCAAGAUACACCAACAAAAGCUCUGAAACAAUGACUUCCAUGGCGGUCAGUGGCAGUUCAGUAAAUAGGUGGGUUGAGCCGGGUAAAUUCUUCCGCGAGUCGAUGCUGAAGAAAGGGACUGUGAUGCCAAUGCCGGACAUUAGGGAUAAAAUGCCCAAAAGGUCGUUUUUGCCCCGCACUAUUUCCUCCAAAUUUCCGUUUUCAACCUCCAAACUUGAGGAGAUGAAGAAAAUAUUCCAUGCCGCGGAUAACUCAAGCAUGGAGCACAUGUUCACAGAGGCAUUAGAUGACUGCGAGAGAGCACCCAGCAAAGGCGAGACCAAGCGCUGCGUCCCCUCCAUCGAGGACAUGAUCGACUUCGCCACCACCGUCCUCGGCCGCAACGUUGUGGUUCGCACCACCCAAUCCGUCGAAGGGUCAAAACAAAACUUAAUGAUCGGGUCGGUCAAAGGGAUCAACGGUGGACAAGUCACCAAAUCGGUGUCCUGCCACCAGAGCCUGUUCCCUUAUCUACUCUAUUACUGCCACUCCGUUCCCAAGGUUCGGGUCUAUGAAGCGGACCUCCUGGACCCGAAAACCAAAGCCAACGUUAACCAUGGUGUUGCCAUCUGUCACUUGGACACCUCCGAUUGGAGCGCGGGUCAUGGUGCAUUCGUGGCAUUGGGUUCGGGCCCUGGCCGGAUUGAAGUUUGUCACUGGAUUUUCGAGAAUGAUAUGACCUGGACCAUUGCAGACUGAGCCAUGAC